rnacentral:rRNA from 1 species
AGUGAACGCUGGCGGUAGGCCUAACACAUGCAAGUCGAACGGCAGCACAGUAAGAGCUUGCUCUUACGGGUGGCGAGUGGCGGACGGGUGAGGAAUACAUCGGAAUCUACUUUUUCGUGGGGGAUAACGUAGGGAAACUUACGCUAAUACCGCAUACGACCUACGGGUGAAAGCAGGGGAUCUUCGGACCUUGCGCGAUUGAAUGAGCCGAUGUCGGAUUAGCUAGUUGGCGGGGUAAAGGCCCACCAAGGCGACGAUCCGUAGCUGGUCUGAGAGGGUGAUCCACCAACAUGGAAAUGAGACACGGUCCAGACUCCUAAGGGAGGCAGCAGUGGGGAAUAUUGGACAAUGGGCGCAAGCCUGGUCCAGCCAUACCGCGUGGGUGAAGAAGGCCUUCGGGUUGUAAAGCCCUUUUGUUGGGAAAGAAAAGCAGCAGGUUAAUACCCCGCUGUUCUGACGGUACCCAAAGAAUAAGCACCGGCUAACUUCGUG